rnacentral:rRNA from 1 species
CAGUAGCCGCGGUAAUACGUAGGUCCCGAGCGUUGUCCGGAUUUAUUGGGCGUAAAGCGAGCGCAGGCGGCUAGAUAAGUCUGAAGUUAAAGGCUGUGGCUUAACCAUAGUACGCUUUGGAAACUGUUUAACUUGAGUGCAAGAGGGGAGAGUGGAAUUCCAUGUGUAGCGGUGAAAUGCGUAGAUAUACGGAGGAACACCGGUGGCGAAAGCGGCUCUCUGGCUUGUAACUGACGCUGAGGCUCGAAAGCGUGGGGAGCAAACAGGAUUAGAUACCCCCGUAGCCUGUCUCUUAUACACA